rnacentral:rRNA from 1 species
CCGGCGAUGUCCGAAUGGGGAAACCCAGUGCAAUUCGUUGCACUAUCGUUAACUGAAUACAUAGGUUAACGAGGCGAACCGGGGGAACUGAAACAUCUAAGUACCCCGAGGAAAAGAAAUCAACCGAGAUUCCCCCAGUAGCGGCGAGCGAACGGGGAGCAGCCCAGAGUCUGAAUCAGCUUGUGUGUUAGUGGAACGGUCUGGAAAGUCCGACGGUACAGGGUGAUAGUCCCGUACACCAAAAUGCACAGGCUGUGAACUCGAAGAGUAGGGCGGGACACGUGGUAUCCUGUCUGAAUAUGGGGGGACCAUCCUCCAAGGCUAAAUACUCCUGACUGACCGAUAGUGAACCAGUACCGUGAGGGAAAGGCGAAAAGAACCCCGGCGAGGGGAGUGAAAAAGAACCUGAAACCGUGUACGUACAAGCAGUGGGAGCACCUUCGGGUGUGACUGCGUACCUUUUGUAUAAUGGGUCAGCGACUUAUAUUCUGUAGCAAGGUUAACCGUAUAGGGGAGCCGCAGGGAAACCGAGUCUUAACUGGGCGUUAAGUUGCAGGGUAUAGACCCGAAACCCGGUGAUCUAGCCAUGGGCAGGUUGAAGGUUGGGUAACACUAACUGGAGGACCGAACCGACUAAUGUUGAAAAAUUAGCGGAUGACUUGUGGCUGGGGGUGAAAGGCCAAUCAAACCGGGAGAUAGCUGGUUCUCCCCGAAAGCUAUUUAGGUAGCGCCUCGUGAACUCAUCUUCGGGGGUAGAGCACUGUUUCGGCUAGGGGGUCAUCCCGACUUACCAACCCGAUGCAAACUACGAAUACCGAAGAAUGUUAUCACGGGAGACACACGGCGGGUGCUAACGUCCGUCGUGAAGAGGGAAACAACCCAGACCGCCAGCUAAGGUCCCAAAGUCAUGGUUAAGUGGGAAACGAUGUGGGAAGGCACAGACAGCCAGGAUGUUGGCUUAGAAGCAGCCAUCAUUUAAAGAAAGCGUAAUAGCUCACUGGUCGAGUCGGCCUGCGCGGAAGAUGUAACGGGGCUAAACCAUGCACCGAAGCUGCGGCAGCGACACUAUGUGUUGUUGGGUAGGGGAGCGUUCUGUAAGCCUGCGAAGGUGGCCUGUGAGGGUUGCUGGAGGUAUCAGAAGUGCGAAUGCUGACAUAAGUAACGAUAAAGCGGGUGAAAAGCCCGCUCGCCGGAAGACCAAGGGUUCCUGUCCAACGUUAAUCGGGGCAGGGUGAGUCGACCCCUAAGGCGAGGCCGAAAGGCGUAGUCGAUGGGAAACAGGUUAAUAUUCCUGUACUUGGUGUUACUGCGAAGGGGGGACGGAGAAGGCUAUGUUAGCCGGGCGACGGUUGUCCCGGUUUAAGCAUGUAGGCUGAUUAUCCAGGCAAAUCCGGAUAAUCAAGGCUGAGGUGUGAUGACGAGG